AAAAACAUCGCCUCCUGCAAAAAUCAAUGUAUAGGAGGUCCUGCCUGCCCAGUGACAAUUAGUUAAACGGCCGCGGUAUUUUGACCGUGCUAAGGUAGCGCAAUCACUUGUCCUUUAAAUAAGGACCUGUAUGAAUGGUGGAACGAGGGCUUAACUGUCUCCCCCUCCCAAUCAAUGAAAUUGAUCUGCCCGUGCAGAAGCGGACAUAAACAUACAAGACGAGAAGACCCUUUGGAGCUUAAGAUACUCUAAUCAUCUGUGUCAAACCCCUCAUAAAAGAAUUGAACAAAGCAGCACCUGAUUAUUAUCUUCGGUUGGGGCGACCGCGGGGGAAAACAAAACCCCCAUAUGGAAUGGGAAACAUCCUACAACCUAGAAAGACAUUUCUAAGUCACAGAACUUCUGACCAAAAGACCCGGCCUCACAGGCCGAACAACGAACCAAGUUACCCUAGGGAUAACAGCGCAAUCCUCUUUAAGAGUUCAUAUCGACAAGUGGGUUUACGACCUCGAUGUUGGAUCAGGACAUCCUAAUGGUGCAGCCGCUAUUAAGGGUUCGUUUGUUCAACGAUUAAAGUCCUACGUGAUCUGA
rnacentral:rRNA from 1 species